UCCGUAGGUGAACCUGCGGAAGGAUCAUUAAAAGAAAUUGGUUAUACAUUUCAUGUAUCAACUGUUUAAACCCAUUCUGUGUACCUUGCCUGUUGCUUCCAUGGAGCCUGACUUUGGUCACUCUUGUGAUGUAAAUCCCAAGGGAGUCCCCAUGGAAGGUCAUCAAUAAAACUCAUGUAUCCAAUGUCUUCUGUCUGAACUGUUUAUAACAAAUGUUAAAACUUUCAACAACGGAUCUCUUGGUUCUCGCAUCGAUGAAGAACGCAGCGAAAUGCGAUAAGUAUUGUGAAUUGCAGAAUUCAGUGAAUCAUCGAAUCUUUGAACGCACAUUGCGCCUCCUGGUAUUCCGGGAGGCAUGCCUGUUCGAGCGUCAUUAAAUACCUCUCAAGCACCAUUGCUUGGUCAUGGAAGAUGAGUAUGCUUGCAUUCUCCCUUCUGAAAUUCAAAGGCGGAUCAUCUCAUAUUCCCUGGCGUAGUAAGUGUUUAUCUUUCGCUUGGAGUGUGUGACAGUCUUGCCAUCGACCCCCAUUAUUUCAAGGUUGACCUCGGAUCAGGUAGGGAUACCCGCUGAACUUAAGCAUAUCAAUAAGCGGAGGA
rnacentral:rRNA from 1 species